CAAUAAGAAUAAAGCCUCUGAUAACUGUCUUCCGUUAAUAUUUCCGGCCAGAGUGCAGUGACUCACUGCUGCCGUACUGUGCUGUAAGCCAGCCUGAAUCUGAUUAUGUAUGAUGACAACCAGCACCUGCUGUGUAUGAAAAUGCCUGUUUAUUCUUGCACAGCAUCUGUUCAGUGCUCCUCUAAAGUGAGGUCAAUUAUAUGUCCAACAUAAUGCAUCAGAUGUGACUCAAACAAUCACACAGAUCAUCUGGUUUUACAGCACAGCCGUGCUCAAAGCAACACUAAACAAUACAUUUCCCCUAAUUUACAUGGUCCUGGCGUACUUUGUCUUUUUUUUUAAAUGGGUUUCCUUCAAAAUAACAUUGCAGAGUUUUAACAGUGCCUUAAUUAGGAUUCAGCAACAGUUAAAUCCCUCAGAUGGAAAAACAAGCAAAACAAAUCAAACCAUAUUCAGGUUUCAGAUGUUUUAAAUGUAUAAUAUGUUCAUGUAUAGUUAAACCCUAUUACUGGUCAUUUCCUGGAUGUUUGAAAACCAAGCAGGUGGAGGUUCUGGUUUCCGUUGUGAAACACAGUGGAGAAUACAGCAUCCUGCGCAGCUUAAUCAGAUAUUGAUCUGUUUACCUCCAAGGCUCAUCCUUGAGCCCUGUUCAACCUGUAUUAUUCAUGGAAUUAUUUAUAGAAACACAUCCUUAGCUUUCUUCCUGCAUUGUAACCAUCUGCCCCACAUACAUUACACACAGUAUAAGUAUAUAAAAAAAGUGAACUUUCAACUGUUAAAAGCCACGCGCAAAUCACUGAUUUCCACGACUGUGUUGCACAAGUUCCUCAGAAAUGACCCAGUUGGACUAAUUUGUGUAAAAUAUUCCUAUUAUUCUUUUUGUGUGCAUGGAAACCUGGUCUUUAGUUAAUAAUGAUCAGGCUGUGUGUUUUAUUCAGCGCCAGGAGCUACAUGUACUUUGAGUCGACCUCUUUUUCCACAUACAUACAGCAGUGCUGUAAGUGCUGACCUCUGAGGUUAUUGUGGUAGGAUGGAUUAUGGAGUCCAAAUGAUACUCAUCUAUCUCAUGCCUGCUGUAUAAUUACACUGAAGGUCCUGUAGUACACGGUGAUACUCAUACAGUAUGAUAAUAUCUAAGUCAUAAAUGCUUGCGGUAUGGAUUAUUUUGCCCACAAAAUAUUCAUCCUAUUAAAAAUAGCCUUUUAGGGCCACACCAGUAUAAACUGGUAUUGACAUCAUGCUGUUAGUCCAUCUGGCAAUUAUCUGAUAAUGGACUGCUCACUCUCUGUUCAGAAGAAGCUGUGUGUGAAAAAUGAGAAAGUUGACAGUUCACCACGCACAUGGUGACAGGGGGAACUGGGAGGAUGCCAAGCUCCUGUCAACUCUGUCCACUCCAGUUUAAGUCUCACACCAGUGCAAAACAAAAAUCAUGACGCUGCUCAGGUGUGGGACCAUAACUGUGGGAGACUCUGCCUGCAGAAGUGCCUGGGAUGAUUGCGAUCACAGAACGCAGCUCCUUAAAUCAACAUGGUCAAACACACAGACGAUGGAGCACCAGUCCAAUGAAAUCAAUGAAUGGAAGGGGAACUACAGCCAUUCUAGAGGUGUUGGUCCCCUCAUCCAUUCAGGGCAUUUGUAUAGAGAGACAUACCAUGUAACCAUCUGACACUACCAAUUUAUGGGUGUUUAAACAUGUCUUUGUAUUGUUUCAAAAGACUUUCCUAAAGAAGCGCUGUGUAAACCGAGAAAGCCCAGUUUGAGCUUUGGAGCUGUAAAGUUCAGAUUCUCAGUCUUUAAUGAGGCGUCUAAUUGUUCUAGAAAUAAAAGCAGCUAAUUUGCUGAUUGUGUUUUGAUCAGUGCCAAGUGGCGCCGCUGCCCACACCCCGGGGCUACACCCUGUUAUAGCCCAGUUCCCAGCUGAGCUGGUCCAUCUUGCCAGCAUUUGUUCGUGACGUGAAUUCAAAUGCGAUUUCAAGCCUGUGAACUAAGUGGUUCGGUGUUAGAUAAAGUUGGGCUGGGUUUAGAAACCGUUUCACUAACACGUGUGACAUACAAUACAGGACUUACAGUUUUACUCAACAUAUCAAUAAUAAAACAAUAACCAGAUUCACGAUUGAUAAUCUAGAAACCCAUUUCCUUGCUGUUCUAAAAAUGAUAACCCGUCUUUACCAAAUUCAAAACGAAUAUCAAAGCUGACCAUGACUUUCAAUAUUUUUUUAUCACAGAAGACCAAGCUGUAGAUUCGCUUGUUUUCCGUUGCAAGGUGUUUUUGAACAGAGCGAGGAAAGAGUUUGUUUCGCAACACGGCCGUCUGCUGAAACAAGAAUGUCAGUGACUAAACGAAAGGCCAACUGAGCACGCAAGGUCAAGCUUUUCUCCUCAUGAAAGACUGUCAAGGCCAGAGUGAUCUGCUUGUUUUUGUCUCAUACGCUCAUAUAAAGAGAGAAGUAGUGUUACUCUGUUGGAUAUAACAAAAACGCAUUAAGGUGGACUGAAGGUUUUGGAGCAAUAGUGUGUUGUGGUUGCUAAGGAUACUGCAGCUGCUCUUCCUGUUACAGUAGCUGUGGGUAAUGUCAACAUUUGCAUGAAUUAGUUGAAGGUAGAAUCAUUACAUUUACUCAUUUACAUUCAGUUAUAUUUGUUGUUUUGCUUGCUAGAAGUUUGUCCUAUCAAUUUGUUUUAUAUGCUGUGGGAGACUUACUUUUUCAGUCGUGAUUCUUAAUGAUGCAGGUUAUGAUUUAUUUGGUCCAUUAUUGUUGCUAAAGCAAACAUUUCAUGCACCUGAUGGGUUUAAAAGUGCAAAACGUGUUUAGAUGGGUUUUUAAUGUGAUUUUAUGUCACCAGUCAAAGUGUUUUAAGUCAUACAGGCAUUAACUCUAAUACUGACUGAAGGCUUUAGUGUGGCGGUGGACACACUGUGGCCACUCUGUUAAGCAGAAGGCAUCUGACUGUUGUGACACAUUUCUCAUUGUGUGAUCAUACUAGUAUUAAACUAUGAAUACAACUGUGAUGUGGGAGCAGAUAUAGAUACAAUUAGAAAUUACACUGAAUAUACAGUAUAUAAGAACUGCAUUGCGUGAACUGUGCUCUUUGAGAACAAUACUGCAAGUAAAUAUACAGUGAACUAAGUGAUGAAUUAUUUUAAUAAGUAGAGUAUGAAACAAAGGUCCAAGCAAAUAAUAAUAAAGGGCCAAUGUUUUAGGCCAAUGUUUUGAGGUGAAUUUAAGUUUGCUUAGAAUUACUUUGAAUCAUUGGAAGAGACUUUUUCCUUUUUCUUUUACACCCACGCAUCUUAUACCCCACGGCACCAUGCUACAGUAGCACAGUGCUGAUAUGAUCAUGUAUUUUCCCGGACUGGAAACUAUUAAAUGCACUGUAGCAUGUCAUGUUCGUCUGAUUUGUUUUUUGUGUAUGGGUGUUACGGUGAAGACGACCAUGCUAUCUAUUUGAAAUAAAUGUGUUGUGGCUAUCAGAAUAUCUGAAGUGUAUCUGACAUGUUGCAUUCAGCUACUCCUGUGUGUCUAUAUAUACAUGUGUUUAGUGCCACAGCAGUGCAUUCUGUAAUGUAAUGCAGUGAACAGUCUAAAGAAUCCUGAAUGCAGUCGGGUAUAAGAAGGGAGGGGUUGACUUUGAAUGAUGUUUUCAUUUCCGUGUUCUGCUUUAUUUUUUUUUUGUGUGUAAAACAUGCUCCAGAAAACAACUUGUCUUUUUGUCCAGCUCCAUUGUUGAAGAAACCACGGCUUAUUAUGAUAUCAUGGGGUACAGCAACAAAAUUCCUCUUGCAUUGUUGAGAGAGGCGUGUCAUUGAUGUGCUAGGCUCGACCUUGUGCUGUAGACUGCUCUCACAACAAUGUGAGCGGACCAGAGAUUGGUAGAAAGGCCCUUAUUAGCGGCUGCCAGUGGACCAUUGUUAUAAUAGCAGGGAAAAUGUAACUCGCUUCUUAUUAACAUGCAGAUUGAAUUUAUAUCAGUGAAGCCAAAAGCAGCAUAAAAGACAUGCUGUUAUCCUCGCUGAUAACAUGAUGGAUUAGCAACUCCUAUUUUAAGUGUAGGGAUGCUGUGGCUCACAGCAAAAGCGCCACAUAACAUAAUCUACUCCUACACGUUUCAUUCGGCUCCUGAUGCUGCAGUCCCUUCAUAAGCUCUCCACAACGUCUCCACCCUGCCUUUUGUGUAAUUACAUUCUGCGCUGGGUGAUCCCACGCUGCCGCCUGCCACUGAUCUCUGGAAGUGGAGAGCAAAGAUACCUAGGAAGGAAAAUAAAGGGACAUGUUCACACAGUGUGCAGCGUGGAGGAGUUUGCUGGGAAAAUGGGUGUAUUACUCCCUGGGCUGCCCUGGAGGAGGAGAGGAUUAAAGAGAGACUGUCUGAAGGUGAAAAGGUCUUUGCUUUCUAUUGGAUCAAAAGCAGCAGAUCAAAAGACACAUUUUUUUCCUUCAGGAGAAGAAUUGCUUUUCAUUGUUAAGUGUUAAAAUAUCAAAACAUACAUAAUUCACGUUGUAAUAACUUGUUGGAACUGAAUUUUAGGAAUUUCUAUUAUGGGUCCAGAUGUUAUGUGCAGGAAGCACCAUUUCAUUCACCAUAAUUUAUGGCCAGCUGACUGUAUGUACCUCCAUCUAUCACUUUGCCUGCGGAACUGGUGUGUCUACAGGAAGUGCUUUGACUUUAUCGAGUCAACUUAUUUGGAGGCGACACCAGCUGGCCCGCCGUCUGCUUUUGUGCUCAUACAGCCCACUGUAGCAGCGCCGUCCCAGUUAUCUGUCAUUCAUGCUGCCUGUCGCGCUGCUGUGGGACAUAUACUUACUAUAUUGCCAUUUCCUACCAGGGGGGAUAAAUUCACGCUUGUCAAGAGUUAAUUCUGUUGGUACCAAGUUCACGCUGCCUGUUCUUUCAAACUGAUUUGAUACAGACAGAGGAAAACCUAAUGCUGGUCCUCCACCGAAAUCUUUGUGUCACAUGUCGCUAUUUUUACACUUUCAAAUGUUUAUCCUCAUACAUAGACAAAGUAUCACCCUGUGGUCAUCAAAAAAUCAUUUUUUUAAAGAGUGAAUAUUAAAUUUAUAUUCAUUUGCA